CCCACAACAGUCUUUACCCAAAAAACAUCCACUCUAUCUCCACAUCACUGCUUAUCCACCCACUACCCACCAUCAGCGAACCGCUCUCCAUUUCUGACUAUAGAGCAGCGAUCCUCCCGUCACUAUGCGUCCUCCAUCUCAAAUGCCAGUCGUCAAAACUUUCAAAUCCACUUUCAUCCCUCCUCCCUGUCUCAUCCCAAAGUAAAGUCAUGUAGUGCCGUUGGGGCUAAAAAUUCCCAACAUAAAAUCUCGUCGGAAAAAAUUAUAGUGUCAGAAUCUUUAAGCAAUAUACCAGCAAGAAUGGUUUCGAUUCGUAGACAACACUCAUUACCAAAAAACACAAAAAUUAUUACCAAGAAGGUUUUUUGUUUUUGUUUUUUUGUUUUUUCCCGAGUAAAUGGCAUCAAAAAAAUGUUUGUUGUAAGAAGAUGUUUUAUAGGGAAUAUAUGGUUGAGGUGAGGAUGGGGUGUGGUUAAUCCAAUUUGUU
rnacentral:lncRNA from 1 species